UACGAAGGUGGCAAGCGUUGUUCGGAUUUACUGGGCGUACAGGGAGCGUAGGCGGUUGGAUAAGCCCUCCGUGAAAUCUCCAGGCUUAACCUGGAAAGUGCAGAGGGGACUGUUCAGCUAGAGGAUGGGAGAGGAGCGCGGAAUUCCCGGUGUAGCGGUGAAAUGCGUAGAGAUCGGGAGGAAGGCCGGUGGCGAAGGCGGCGCUCUGGAACAUUUCUGACGCUGAGGCUCGAAAGCGUGGGGAGCAAACAGGAUUAGAAACCGAGUAGUCC
rnacentral:rRNA from 1 species